CUUCUUUGCUGGCGACCGGCGCACGGGUGAGUAACACGUAUCCAACCUGCCCUUUACUCGGGGAUAGCCUUUCGAAAGAAAGAUUAAUACCCGAUAGUAUAAUGAUUCCGCAUGGUUUCAUUAUUAAAGGAUUCCGGUAAAGGAUGGGGAUGCGUUCCAUUAGGUUGUUGGUGAGGUAACGGCUCACCAAGCCUUCGAUGGAUAGGGGUUCUGAGAGGAAGGUCCCCCACAUUGGAACUGAGACACGGCCCAA
rnacentral:rRNA from 1 species